CAGUGAUUAAAUUUUCAGUUAACAUAUCAUUACUUUUAAUGAAAUCCUUAGUGUAAAAAAAUAACAUCGCAAAGUGUUUUUAAAUACAUGCGUGAAAACAAUAGUAAAAACGCGUGAUACAGCUACACUGUUUUGUGUGAUACGUUAAUUUUGUACUUGUACCAUCAAGAUUGACAUUUAUUUGCAGUAUUUUACGCUUGUAACGCAAGGCGACUUCUUGCUUCGGGGUCUACAUAUUUCAUCGAUCACAGGCAUAGUCUUGGCGUUGGUGUUCGUGUUGACCUUGACCUUGAUUCUGGAGGUGCUAGACCACUGGCUUCACAUCCAGCAGGAACGACAAACGUAUAUGCCCCGCACAAGAAACCCAACAGACGCAGACAAUCGUAUUCAAUGGCUGAUCACGUGUCAUCGAAUAGCGACGCUGGUGAUUGGUCACGUGGUACUGGUUUGCGUGAUGAGAAGGAACAUUUGGAUACUGACAAUGGUAGUUAUAGGUUCGGGACUCGGACAUUUCUUUUUAAAACCCUUCGUUAUUCGGCGUCUGCCUAAUUACGCGAACGAUCGACGAGGAUAUUUAAUAAACAUGCCAAAGGAGAUGAGUUAUGAAAUGAAACUUGUUCAUGUAACAAGAGUUGAUGAUAACGAUGAUGAGACUCCGAAUAAAGAUACAAAUGUUCGCACAAAGGGAACCGCGUUAUGGUUGAGUGACUCUAAUAAUUCAGACUCGGGAUGAUCAUAAUUUUCGAAAUUUAGUCCAUAUUUAUUACUUAAAAUAAUCUUCGCCAUCAGAGAAGUUAUGCGUAGUUUGCAGACGGUUGAUUCGUUUUGUAAGGUGCUUUUAGAAUAUUAUCAGAUAUAAUUAACUAUGGAUUAUCCGGAAAAUUUUGAAAUGGAACAAUCAAUGAAGAUCGUGGCGAAAAUUUAGAAGAACGCCUAAACCCAGGACUACUUUCAAGGGCAAGGGAGAUAAUCAGCCACAACACUCAUUUGUGUGAAGGAUAAGUUGUAUAUAAUACAUUGGAUUAUUCUAAUCGGAUAAAAGGAACUAUUUAUGAGUGAAACGACAUGGACAAACAUUUAAAAAUUUAUCGUAUACAUGUUCUGUGUAAUUUCUAUAUAAUUUAUAAAAAUGUUUAACACGCU